rnacentral:misc_RNA from 1 species
GAUUUGAUAUUUGAAUCAGAAAGUGUGGCAUGUCCAUAGUAUAUCUAUCAUGUGGUUGUAUGUGCAGUACUACCUCAGCUUUCAUCACUUUUGGCAACCAACUGGCUGUAAUUACAUGAAUGUAUCUUCUGAGUGCUUGUGAAACAUCAAUUCUAAGUUCAUUGCUCCAACUUCUAUGAAAGAAUUAGAACCCUUUUUUUUUCCAUGUUGUUGUAAUUCCUUGGACACAGUUCACUAAUUUUAGAAGUUUGGAGGAGCAUUCGAAGAUUCAUUAAUUCUGGACAUUGUGUAUUUGUACCUUCAGUUACUCCCUGCCACCUUCCUCGUUUCUGUUAACUCAUUUCUGACUUUGUAUCCCUUAUUUUAUGCAUUGGAUAACAUCUUUAUGAGUUUUUAACAAAAAUUUCAUUCAGACCAGGUUUAUAGUUAUUAAUUGGGAAGGAACUGAUUAUAGUUGGAAGAGUCAAUACUAUCAUCUCACUAUCUCAAGCCUUAGGUGUGUAAAUCAAAACAGCAGAAUGGUUUUAAGGUUCUUACUCGCAUGUAAAAAAGCAGUGACUCCAGAUUAAGUAUAGAACAGUUGGAGCCCCUACCAAAGUUACAGAAGAUGGAUUUUCCUACCUCAACAAAUGGUUGCCAUUAAUAUCAUAGUUACAAUCUCCUUCUUCGUGUUCCUCUUUGAUGUAGCAAAUUGUCCUUUUCCUUGCCCUCCUGCUUUCCUAUCUUCAGGAUUGUGACCUGUGACACUAGCUUUCAUCUGCUACCGUUAUAAUUAUGAAAAAGGUCCCCUAGACCACUUAUAUUUUAACCAGCAACUAUGCUGUGUUUAUAAUGAACUAAAAUUACUGUAUUUCUAAUUGAUUUUCUAUCCACUAUUCUUGUCUUGAAUGGUAAGUGCUGAUAUACUAGACAAGGUGAUCUGGUGAUUUUCUAAUGUGUUUGAAAUGCGAGUUUUAUCUUUCCAUAUGGAUAACAAAAAUAAUACUGUUGUGAAAUAUCUAUUUGAAUGUCUUUUAGUAGUAUAAUAUUUUUCCAGCUAUAUAAUCUUAGUUUUUGUUCUUGCAGAUUUUAUGCUGCUGA